rnacentral:rRNA from 1 species
AUUGAACGCUGGCGGCAGGCCGAACACAUGCAAGUCGAACGAGUGGCGGACGGGUGAGUAAUUUCUGGGAACCUGCCUGACGGAGGGGGAUAACUACUGGAAACGGUAGCUCAUACCGCAUACCAUCAGAUGUUCCCAGAUGGGAUUAGCUAGUUGGUGGGGUAACGGCUCACCAAGGCGACGAUCCCUAGCUGGUCUGAGAGGAUGACCAGCCCCACUUGAACUGAGUCACGGUCCAGACGCCUACGGGAGGCAGCAGUGGGGAAUAUUGCACAAGGGGCGCAAGCCUGAUGCAGCCAUGCCGCGUGUAUGAAGAAGGCCUUCGGGUUGUAAAGUACUUUCAGCGGGGAGGCGUUACCCGCAGAAGAAGCACCGGCUAACUCCGUGCCAGCAGCCGCGGUAAUUC